rnacentral:rRNA from 1 species
UACGAAGGGGGCUAGCGUUGCUCGGAAUCAUUGGGCGUAAAGCGCGCGUAGGCGGCCCGAUAAGUCCGCUGUGAAAGUCCAGGGCUCAACCCUGGAAAGCCGGUGGAUACUGUCGGGCUAGAGUCCGGAAGAGGCGAGUGGAAUUCCUGGUGUAGCGGUGGAAUGCGCAGAUAUCAGGAGGAACACCAAUAGGACGAAGGCAG